CCUGCGGAGCGACUGCACGCGUGCGCUGUGGGCCUCCCAGUCGGAGAAGCUGCGGAAGUCGCCCCUCUCCACCACGUACAUGCGGCCGCGGUAGUUGGGCUCCUCGUAGAGGACCCACCUGAAGGCCAGGGGAAGGGCGGGUCAGCGGGCGGGAGCCACGAGGGCAAGUCUCCCGGGCCCCGCCCCUCUGUCCUAGCGCCUUACUGCCUUGGGCAUCAGUGGCUGAAUCGGGCUUGGUGCUGGGGUGGGACAAGAAGGGGACUGCCCAGUAACUGUCAAGGGCGGGAGUGGCUCCGGGACGCACUCUGCCCAGUCGCCCUCCAAAGGGCCAUUUGCACACAGUCCCCAGCCCCAUAAACUGGGGACCAUUCCCACUGUGUAUCCACUCAGCCAACAGCCCUGGUGGGGCUGUGCUCCAGUGCAAGUGGGCUGUGCUGCCUGCAUUGUACAGAGGAGCUGUAACCUCCGGGACAUGAGGUCUGGCAAGGGCACCCUUCCGUUGGUGGUGUGUGCGCACCAGGCCUCUGGCCAGUAACAACCCAGGGGGCUGUGGUGAAGGUGAAGAGCACCACGGACCACGGAAUCGGACACAGAUACGAGUGAUGAUUCACUUCUAAGCUGGUAUGGAACCCAGAAGGAAUGCUCUUGACCUAUGGGAGGUGGUGAAGGGGCCCUGCUUCACUGCCUGCAGAUCCCAGAGGAAGCUCCAGGGACCCAAGGCAUAUCACAGAAGAGUUAAGGUCAUCGAAGAGAAAAGACAAGCAUACCUUGGACCCCAACACAGAGGCCCACUGUCUUGGCCUCCAUCUCCUGACCAUUGAGCCUGGUUCCUUCCAGGAAAGUGGAGAUUAAAAACUAUAUACCCCAA